AGGUUCUACCCUCUCUAUCCUGAAGUUCUUGCAAGUGGAAGUUUAGACUAUGAAGUUCGCUUGUGGGAUUGACAAACUGAAGAGUGUAUAGGAUCACAUGAUUUUUAUCGUCCUAUAGCUUUUGUCGCCUUUCAUGCCCAAGGGGAAAUUUAGCUGUAGCUGUAGGCCACAAGGUUACAAAUUUCAAAAAUUACAUUGCUGUCAGUUUAAUUUUGGAUGCGCUUCAUUGUCGUUGACCUUGUGAUAUGUGACAUGUAUACACGUGGUAUUACAACAAGAGAGGAAA